CCUACGGGAGGCAGCAGUGAGGAAUAUUGGUCAAUGGCCGUAAGGCUGAACCAGCCAAGCCGCGUGAAGGACGAAGGUUCCAAGCAUUGUAAACUUCUUUUGUCAGGGGACAAAAUCAGUCUCGUGUCCCUGACCGAGUGUACUUUAAGAAAAAGCAUCGGCUAACUCCGUGCCAGCAGCCGCGGUAAUACGGAGGAUUCGAGCGUUAUCCGGAUUUAUUGGGUUUAAAGGGUGCGUAGGCGGACUUUUAAGUUAGGGGUGAAAGGCCGGGGCUCAACCCCCGACGAGCCGUUGAAACUGUCUGGCUUGAGAUGUCGAGAGGUAUGCGGAAUGCGUAGUGUAGCGGUGAAAUGCUUAGAGAUCGCGCAGAACUCCGAUUGCGAAGGCAGCAUACC
rnacentral:rRNA from 1 species